GUUCUAGAAUUUUGUUAGAUAUCUACGGGAAAUGGGAGAUGAGAGGUUUUGAAGCUUGGGAACUCCACUCGGAUUAAUGAGCAGUGCUUGGAGCUUCAAAAGAAUAUCAAAGAUGAUGUUUUCAAAAUGAAGUUCAGUACUAUUAUUUAAUAUCAACCAAGUGAGCAAUUACAUCUAUGGAGAAGCUGAGGCAUUGACUGAUGAUAUUGAAGAAGAGAGUCAGGUUUUUGGGGAGGUCUUGAGGAUCAAAAAGAUUAUUGAUAAUUGUCAAGAUGAGGUCAUCAGAGAAGAGAGUGAGUGCAGUUGCCAUAAGCAAUGAUGGUCUAUUUGUUUGUUUUGCUGACAAAUUUGGAGUUGUUUGGUUUGUGGAUUUGGAUGGAUUUCAUGAAAAUCAAGCUUUAGCCGGUAACAAGGCAGCGCCAAUUCUUGCUUACUACUGUAGCAUCAUUACUAGCCUGGAAUUCUCGUCAGAUGGACGAUUCAUUAUUAGUGUUGAUCGAGAUUUUAAAAUUCAUGUAAUUGAUGAUU